GACAUGUUUGAUCCAAUGAACUCUCUCCCCUUUUCCAGGUGCCUCAGUCUCUCUGGUGAAACUGGACUUUCAAGUCUGUGCAGGUGAAGGUGUGUGUGUGCGCGCGCGAGGGAAAGCGAGCGCCCGGGACGGCAGAACCAGAGCUACUGGUAAUUCUGCUUUUCUUCCCCCCCUCUACUUUUCCCUCAGCCAGCCGUCGAGGUAGAAGCGGGACAGGUAAAGCCCCCUUCUCCCCGCCCCUCGCAUGUGGAAAGGAGACUGGUUCGCCCCGGCCGCCCUCCCCCUGCUGCUGAGGGCACCAAGCAGGGAAGGAGCAAAAUCUAAAGGCGCCUACAGAAACUGGCAAAUCUGUGUCGUGUGGGUCCUGGAAUCCGUGCAGUUUCAAGUGGGCACCGGUUUUACCUCUUCUGAGAAAGGAAAAAGGCUUCCCUGCAUUCAUUUGCCAAACGAGAGAUUAAUCUGAUUGCUCUGUGUCCGCGUUUAUUGCAGGCUACAGUUUCGCUUAAGUCACCCAAAGAGCUAUUGUUAUUUUAGGAACAAAAGAAAGGGGCCCACAGCUGCAACUAAGGAAUUAUGCUCCCAUGGAAAGAUAAAACUGGGAUGAUGCACUGCAAAGGUUGAGGAAAAGGGAGAGGAGAAUAUCUGUGGAAGGUGUGAUCUGCAAAAGGGUUGGCCAGGGCAAGGUGUGGCCCUGAACUCCAGGAAGGCCCUAGACUAGCCUGGGGGCUUGAUAUGCAGGAAGGCAUCAUCUGGGAAUCUGGAAGGAGAGACAGACACCUUUUCAUUUGCAAAACCAAUUUAGGAUCAUUGUAAAUGGACAGAGUCUUUUCAUAGUGUUGCCUCAGAGAGAUCAAAGGCAAAACUUUUGAAGGAACCUUCCCGCACCUGUGGUGAAAGGGUUCAGAACUUCAUUUGAUGCACUUCUGACUGUUGCAGUACAACCAUACAAUUCUGUUCAUUGCCAUCUGCACUUCUGAUAAGGGUGUCAGCCAGGUAUCGAUCCCAGUCUUGCAGUCAGUGGUGCUAAAUUCCCACUUACCUUUCAGAGAAGGGAGAUAAAUACCUUCCUUGCUGAAGUAUUUUCCUCUACCCUUAAUUCCAGUUAAUAGAAAUCGCCAUGAGAACAAGUCCCAAAGGUGAAAGAAAGUCAGCUAGUUUUUCAUGCAGUGAUUUUUGUA